rnacentral:lncRNA from 1 species
CAGACGAGUCAUUUACAAUGCAAAGGGGUUUCCUGCCUUUGUUCACUCCCAAGCAUGGAUUGUAGUCCAUGACCAUUGACAUGUACUUUGCAAUUUCCAUGCAAUGACGAUGCUCAUAAACUUUAGGGUUACCAAAAAUUGGUAAUAUAUCGAUUGUCUUCUUUUCUAAACAAGGGUUAACCAGAGGUACUUGCUAGACUAUUUUGCACUCAGGAGAAUGACUUCUUUAAUAUAUUCAAGUUGCAAAGAUGAUCAUUCAAAAUAACGGGAA